UACGAAGGUCCCAAGCGUUAUCCGGAUUUAUUGGGUUAAAGGGUGCGUAGGCGGGCUAUUAAGUCAGUGGUGAAAGCCCCAAGCUUAACUUGGGAACUGCCAUUGAUACUGAUGGUCUUGAGUACAUUUGAGGUGGGCGGAAUGUGUCAUGUAGCGGUGAAAUGCUUAGAUAUGACACAGAACACCGAUGCGAAGGCAGCUCACUAAACUGUAAACUGACGC
rnacentral:rRNA from 1 species